UAGUCUACGCCGUAAACGACGGAUACUAGCUGUUGGACUUCGGUUCAGUGGCUAAGCGAAAGUGAUAAGUAUCCCACCUGGGGAGUACGUUCGCAAGAAUGAAACUCAAAGGAAUUGACGGGGGCCCGCACAAGCGGUGGAGCAUGUGGUUUAAUUCGAUGAUACGCGAGGAACCUUACCAGGGCUUAAAUGUAAAUUGACAGGACUAGAGAUAGUUUUUUCUUCGGACAAUUUACAAGGUGCUGCAUGGUUGUCGUCAGCUCGUGCCGUGAGGUGUCAGGUUAAGUCCUAUAACGAGCGCAACCCCUGUUGUUAGUUGCCAGCGAGUCAAGUCGGGAACUCUAACAAGACUGCCAGUGCAAACUGUGAGGAAGGUGGGGAUGACGUCAAAUCAUCACGGCCCUUACGUCCUGGGGCUACACACGUGCUACAAUGGGUAGGGGACAGAGAGCAGCCACAACGCGAGUUGGAGCGAAUCUAUAAACCCUAUCACAGUUCGGAUCGGAGUCUGCAAC
rnacentral:rRNA from 1 species